CUCAGGCCUCACCGCCUCCCACGUCACUUCCCCCCGGCGCCCCGCCCCGUGACGUCACGGCGUCGGCCCGCCCACCUCCCAGAAGCCUGUGUUCAUUUUCUGUUGCUACUGUAAAAUUUCCUGAGGAACUGAGGCCCUUGGUCCAACAGUCCAUGAGGAACUGAAUCGUGCCAACCACCAUGUGAAUGAACUUGGCAUCAGACCCACCCCUGAGGAGGCUCAAGAUGCCCACAGCCCGUGCGAAACGCUGAGCAGGGGACCUGGGAAGUGGCACCCAGAUUUCUGACUUGCAGACACUGUGAGCCAAAAUUGACUCCGGACAAAUGGAAAAGGGGCUGAACAUUACCCAGAGAAACUGCAGUCUGAACGCUAACGCGAACAUGGGGGAACUUGAAGAAAAUGGCAGAGCCGAUUCUGCUCCUGUCCCUAGUAUGUCAGCCACAUUGUAAUAAAAUUGAGCAGGAGAUCACCAAAAAAUAUUAAAAAUUAUC